rnacentral:lncRNA from 1 species
UUGGACAUUGGAGUGAAUGUGUUGCUUGCGCUUUUUGUGGUGGACAUGCAAGAGCAAGGCCAACGUGGGUUGUGCUAAGAACUUCCAAGCAAAGAGGUGCUAAGAAAAAAAAACUCCUCCAACGUGCUAGACUCACUUAUGGGACCCACAGACCAAAUAAAAAACAAAAUCCUGGGAUCUUUCCAACCUUCUCAGUCUCACUGGUUCCUGGGCCCCACCAAAGUCAAUAGAAGUUAGAACCAGAUCAAGUUCAGGAAUCGAUUCCUAAAAAAAUUUCUUAGCUAGCACCCGUGCAAUGGUUAGAAGCGAUACUAGUACUACUUUUUCAUCUCUUAGCUAUACUUGUUGACCAACACUGCACUUGCUCUAAUGGGCCUUCACC